rnacentral:lncRNA from 1 species
GGCCUAGUUUAAGAUGCAGGAGAUGCAGCGGUCUUGUAGUAGUAGAUCGACGUUAGCUUUGAAAACGUCUAGGUUCAGAAGCUUGAGUGAACUUCAUGUUCGUUCGUUAGCGGGGCGGCCACGUGCAGCCCCGGGCGCUGAGUUGGAAGCCAGUCGCGCGUGGGUCGUGGGCCCUCCGGCAGAGGUUAAAUACCGCUGAUGACCCGGGUGAAGAAGGUCAUGCGUUGUACUGUCGGUGCCAUGUGGCCAUCUUGAAUCUGUUACUCUGCCACUCUGAAGAGUAACACCGCAUCCUGACGAGCCGCCAGUUUGAUCCAGGUGGUGAGUAGUGUCUGUAUUUGUGUUUGCUGGUCUUUUCUGGGAUUAUGAAUCUCCAUGUAUCUUUGGGACCUGUCGGCUGUGGCAGUCUCCCUUCCUAGCCAUGGAAGAGCAUAUUCUUGUUUAUUGGCAAAGCUGUCACCAUUUAAUUGGUAUCAGAUUCUGACUUGCACAAGUAACAUUCACUUUAAAAACCUGCAGCGUGCUGGGUUAUUGGGCAAACAUUAAACUACUGUUCAAAUGUUUCUAGGAAGCUGAGCGAAUUGUUCCAGUGGAUGAUGGAAAGCAUAACGAGAUACACCAAGAAAUCCAAAGUGAUGUGGGUGAAGUCUGAGCAUCCUGCAGUACACUGCCAAAUGUGAUUUUAAAUCUCGUGUAUGGUAUUUAAAUAGAAAAUAAAAGCGUGCUGCUUUUAUUUAUGUAAUAAAAUGCUUGAUUUGUAC